rnacentral:rRNA from 1 species
AGAGUUUGAUCAUGGCUCAGGAUGAACGCUGGCGGCGUGCCUAACACAUGCAAGUCGAACGGAGUUACUUUGGUGAAGUUUUCGGAUGGAUCUGAUUUAACUUAGUGGCGGACGGGUGAGUAAUGCGUGAGCAACCUGCCCUUCAGAGGGGGACAACAGUUGGAAACGACUGCUAAUACCGCAUAAUGUAUUCGGAAGGCAUCUUCUGGAUACCAAAGGAGAAAUCCGCUGAUGGAUGGGCUCACGUCUGAUUAGCUAGUUGGUGAGGUAACGGCUCACCAAGGCUGCGAUCAGUAGCCGGACUGAGAGGUUGAACGGCCACAUUGGGACUGAGAUACGGCCCAGACUCCUACGGGAGGCAGCAGUGGGGAAUAUUGGGCAAUGGGCGAAAGCCUGACCCAGCAACGCCGCGUGAAGGAAGAAGGCCUUCGGGUUGUAAACUUCUUUUAAGAGGGACGAAGAAGUGACGGUACCUCUUGAAUAAGCCACGGCUAACUACGUGCUAGCAGCCGCGGUAAUACGUAGGUGGCGAGCGCUAUCCGGAUUUACUGGGUGUAAAGGGCGCGUAGGCGGGAAUGCAAGUCAGAUGUGAAAUCCAAGGGCUCAACCCUUGAACUGCAUUUGAAACUGUAUUUCUUGAGUGUCGGAGAGGUUGACGGAAUUCCUAGUGUAGCGGUGAAAUGCGUAGAUAUUAGGAGGAACACCAGUGGCGAAGGCGGUCAACUGGACGAUAACUGACGCUGAGGCGCGAAAGCGUGGGGAGCAAACAGGAUUAGAUACCCUGGUAGUCCACGCCGUGAACGAUGAAUACUAGGUGUGGGGGGACUGACCCCUUCCGUGCCGCAGUUAACACAAUAAGUAUUCCACCUGGGGAGUACGACCGCAAGGUUGAAACUCAAAGGAAUUGACGGGGGCCCGCACAAGCAGUGGAUUAUGUGGUUUAAUUCGAAGCAACGCGAAGAACCUUACCAGGGCUUGACAUCCAACUAACGAAGCAGAGAUGCAUUAGGUGCCCUUCGGGGAAAGUUGAGACAGGUGGUGCAUGGUUGUCGUCAGCUCGUGUCGUGAGAUGUUGGGUUAAGUCCCGCAACGAGCGCAACCCCUAUCCCCAGUAGCCAGCAUUUAAGGUGGGCACUCUGAGGAGACUGCCAGGGAUAACCUGGAGGAAGGCGGGGAUGACGUCAAAUUAUCAUGCCCCUUAUGAUUUGGGCUACACACGUGCUACAAUGGCGUAAACAAAGGGAAGCGAACCCGCGAGGGUGGGCAAAUCCCAAAAAUAACGUCCCAGUUCGGACUGUAGUCUGCAACCCGACUACACGAAGCUGGAAUCGCUAGUAAUCGCGGAUCAGAAUGCCGCGGUGAAUACGUUCCCGGGUCUUGUACACACCGCCCGUCACACCAUGGGAGUCAGUAACGCCCGAAGUCAGUGACCUAACCGUAAGGAGGGAGCUGCCGAAGGCGGGACCGAUGACUGGGGUGAAGUCGUAACAAGGUA